UUCAGAGCUUGGCAAACAACUGAGGGCUACCUGAACAAAUGGAUCCUGUCUUACUUGUUUUACAUUUCUACCAUCUAUAUCAGGGUCUGCCACUGGCUACAUAUGUUUGGAUUUCAUAUGUUUAACAAGAUACACAGUCAUCAUGUAAAC